rnacentral:rRNA from 1 species
UACGUAGGUGGCAAGCGUUAUCCGGAUUUAUUGGGUGUAAAGGGGGUGUAGGCGGGAGCGCAAGUCAGAUGUGAAAACUCAGGGCUCAACCCUGAGCCUGCAUUUGAAACUGUGUUUCUUGAGUGCUGGAGAGGCAAUCGGAAUUCCGUGUGUAGCGGUGAAAUGCGUAGAUAUACGGAGGAACACCAGUGGCGAAGGCGGAUUGCUGGACAGUAACUGACGCUGAGGCGCGAAAGCGUGGGGAGCAAACAGG